rnacentral:rRNA from 1 species
CACGUAGGGCGCAAGCGUUGUCCGGAAUUAUUGGGCGUAAAGAGCUCGUAGGUGGUUUGUUACGUCUGCUGUGAAAACCUAGGGCUUAACCCUGGGCUUGCAGUGGAUACGGGCAGACUAGAGGUAGGUAGGGGAGAAUGGAAUUCCUGGUGUAGCGGUGAAAUGCGCAGAUAUCAGGAGGAACACCAAUAGCGAAGGCAGCUCGCUGGGACGUUACUGACACUGAGGCGCGAAAGCGUGGGGAGCGAACAGG